UAAGCCAGACUAUAUGGGACCCUCUGACUU
rnacentral:piRNA from 1 species